GCAUUAAGAAGGUUGAGAACACUGAUCUUAGUGGCUCUCUGAAAGGCAAGGCCAGGAGAGAGUUAGAGAGAGCUCCUUAGAGAUGUCUUUAGGACAGUGGUGACAUCAAAGGUGGACCUAGGUAUACAGACAUUCAGGGAAGGAAGGAGCCUAUCAAGUAAAGGAUUGCCGAGGGCUGUUAGACACCUGCCAUGCUCAGGGCCCAGCUGCUGUGCUGUUCUACAGCAGGCAAAGAGGAAGCCCUCCCGGGCUCUCGGCCUUGAGAGGGUUCAACUCUGCAUACCAGCCGCUUCCCUGGGAAGCAGGGCCUGGGCGGACACAGAUGAUGUGAGGACCGGCAGCUGGCAGCGAAGACCUCGUUCCAUUGUGAGGAUGGUGGCAUGAGGCCCAGGGCUAUCUCUCCAUCCCUUAUAUCCCUUAUUCCCCAGAGUCCUGCCAUGACCUAUGGAUAAUGAAGGUGGGUACAUCUACCCAGGCAGGAAUAAGACAUCAGUUUGCAACGUC